rnacentral:rRNA from 1 species
CCUACGGGAGGCUGCAGUGGGGAAUAUUGCACAAUGGGGGGAACCCUGAUGCAGCGACGCCGCGUGGGUGAGGAAGUACUUCGGUAUGUAAAGCCCUAUCAGCAGGGAAGAAAAUGACGGUACCUGACUAAGAAGCCCCGGCUAACUACGUGCCAGCAGCCGCGGUAAUACGUAGGGGGCAAGCGUUAUCCGGAUUUACUGGGUGUAAAGGGAGCGUAGACGGCGUGCCAAGUCUGGUGUGAAAGGCCGGGGCUCAACCCCGUCGAGCCGUUGAAACUGGCAGACUUGAGUUGGCGAGAAGUACGCGGAAUGCGCGGUGUAGCGGUGAAAUGCAUAGAUAUCGCGCAGAACUCCGAUUGCGAAGGCAGCGUACCGGCGCCAGACUGACGCUGAGGCACGAAAGCGUGGGGAUCGAACAGGAUUAGAUACCCGUGUAGUC